CCCAGACAUAAGCCUUUAACCCUAGUCGCAACCCUAACCUAGCUCAACAAAGACCACACUGGGGAGUAGCAAGCCGUUUGCCGACAUUCCAUUCACUUUUUUCUCAUGGUUAUUUCUUUCACACUGGGAGCAGCAAACGAAGGACUUCUGAGGCAAGAACCACUUGAAGAGUUUUUGCUACACCGGAGUGAGGAGCCGAGGGGGCAAGGCUAGCAAAUCCUAGGAUUCCAUGUCAAAGUGAAUCCAAAUAAAAUUCACCUAUGACAUCACCAGUUUCCAGAUCAGUGCAGAUGAAGGGGGAAACAAACUGAGGAAGCCACUGUAGACUGAGAUGCAGCCGAAGUGUCCACUAUCAGGCCCCAAACGGAAGAAAACGGACUGAAACAGGAGGGGACAAUCUGAACUUAUCCAAUAAGAAACACUUGUUUUUGUAUUCUGUUGGAAAACAUUUUGCUACAUUUUGAAACAGUGCACACUAAUGAAUACAACCCAGAUGAGGAACCUAUCAGCAGCACCAUUACUCUUAAAGUGAGCCAACAUCGGAGUUUGUCUGGUUAGAAAACCUGUCAAAUUAAUAAUGUGCAUUCCCUCCUAAACACGACACAGUAAUGUUAUGACUGCAUUACUCUGCACCUCCACCGAUGCGAAUGAACUUCCUUCUCUUUACUAGUGUUCAAUGAAAUCCGAAUUGAAGAAUUAAAAUUGUUUUUCAAUAAUUAAUUUUCUAUUAUUGAAUUGUCAAUAAUAGAAAUGGAAUUGACCCCAAUUCUGGUAUUUCCUAUACACAUGCUAUGUAUGUGUGGUCAUUUCAGAUGGCUACACGUGGGUAUUGCAUUUAUUGUUUCUUUGUAAUUAGAAUUCAGAAAACGUUUAUUACAUGUUUUGUAUUUUUGCUCUUUAAGCCGUUUACCAUAAAUCAUGUCAUGUCAG
ensembl:lncRNA